rnacentral:rRNA from 1 species
CUUGUACACACCGCCCGUCACACCACGGGAGUUGGAGACGCCCGAAGCCGAUUAUCUAACCUUUUGGAAGAAGUCGUCGAAGGUGGAAUCAAUAACUGGGGGGAAGUCGUAACAAGGUAGCCGUAUCGGAAGGUGCGGCUGGAUCACCUCCUUUCUAAGGAGA